AUUCCUAGCGUUAAAAUAUAUAUUCACACUACAAAUCGCCAGGGAAUUACGAGCCCAAGCUUAAAACCCAAAGGACUUGACGGUGUCCCACCCACCUAGAGGAGCCUGUUCUAUAAUCGAUUCUCCCCGAUAAACCUCACCACUUCUAGCUACUCAGCCUGUAUACCUCCGUCGUAAGCUCACCAUGUGAACGAAAUCAGUGGGCCCAAGGAUCACUCAUCAAUACGUCAGGUCAAGGUGCAGCUCACGAACUGGGAAGAAAUGGGCUACAAUUUCUACAAUAGAACAAACGAAAGACUACAUGAAACAUAGUCACUGAAGGCGGAUUUAGUAGUAAAAAGAAAAUAGAGAGUCCUUUUUAACAAGGCGCUGGGACGCGUACACA
rnacentral:rRNA from 1 species